rnacentral:rRNA from 1 species
AUUGAACGCUGGCGGCAGGCCUAACACAUGCAAGUCGAACGAGUGGCGGACGGGUGAGUAAUGUCUGGGAAACUGCCCGAUGGAGGGGGAUAACUACUGGAAACAGUAGCUAAUACCGCAUACCAUCGGAUGUGCCCAGAUGGGAUUAGCUAGUAGGUGGGGUAACGGCUCACCUAGGCGACGAUCCCUAGCUGGUCUGAGAGGAUGACCAGCGACCAUAGACCUGCGGCACGCACCAGACGCGUACGUGAGGCAGUGGUGGGGAAUCUUGUACAGUGGGCGCAAGCCUGAUGCAGCCAUCUUGGGGUUAUGAAGUAGGUCCACGGGGUAUAAACCGCUUUCAGCCAUGACGCGGUAGCGGCAGAAGAAGCACCGGCUAACUCCGUGCCAGCAGCCGCGGUAAUAC